rnacentral:rRNA from 1 species
GGUGGAUGCCUUGGCAGUUAGAGGCGAUGAAGGACGUGUUAAUCUGCGAUAAGCGUUGGUAAGGUGAUAAAAACCGUCAUAGCCAACGAUUUCCGAAUGGGGAAACCCACUUAGCAUAAGCUAGGUAUCAUUAACUGAAUACAUAGGUUAAUGAGGCAAACCGGGAGAACUGAAACAUCUAAGUACCCCGAGGAAAAGAAAUCAACCGAGAUUUCGUUAGUAGCGGCGAGCGAACGCGAAUCAGCCCUUAAGCUUAUUGGGCGCUAGUGGAAUGUUCUGGAAAGGACAACGAUACAGGGUGAUAGUCCCGUACACUAAAGCAACCUUUAAGUGAAAUCGAGUAGGACGGAGCACGUGAAACUUUGUCUGAAUAUGGGGGGACCAUCCUCCAAGGCUAAAUACUACUGACUGACCGAUAGUGAACCAGUACCGUGAGGGAAAGGCGAAAAGAACCCCUGUGAGGGGAGUGAAAUAGAACCUGAAACCGCAUACGUACAAGCAGUGGAAGCCGGAUUUAGUCCGGUGACUGCGUACCUUUUGUAUAAUGGGUCAGCGACUUAUAUUUAGUAGCAAGGUUAACCGAAUAGGGGAGCCGUAGCGAAAGCGAGUGUUAACUGCGCGUUUAGUUGCUAGGUAUAGACCCGAAACCCGGUGAUCUAGCCAUGAGCAGGUUGAAGGUUGAGUAACAUCAACUGGAGGACCGAACCCACUAACUUUGAAAAGUUAGGGGAUGACCUGUGGCUGGGGGUGAAAGGCCAAUCAAACCGGGAGAUAGCUGGUUCUCCCCGAAAUCUAUUUAGGUAGAGCCUCGCACGAACACCAUUGGGGGUAGAGCACUGUUAAGGCUAGGGGGUCAUCCCGACUUACCAACCCUUUGCAAACUCCGAAUACCAAUGAGUGAUAUGCGGGAGACACACUACGGGUGCUAACGUCCGUUGUGAAGAGGGAAACAACCCAGACCGCCAGCUAAGGUCCCAAAGUACUAGUUAAGUGGGAAACGAUGUGGAAAGGCAUAGACAGCUAGGAGGUUGGCUUAGAAGCAGCCAUCCUUUAAAGAAAGCGUAAUAGCUCACUAGUCGAGUCGGCCUGCGCGGAAGAUGUAACGGGGCUAAACUAGUCACCGAAGCUGCGGAUUUGAACUUAGGUUCAAGUGGUAGGGGAGCGUUCUGUAAGCCGUUGAAGGUGAAUUGAGAAGUUUGCUGGAGGUAUCAGAAGUGCGAAUGCUGACAUGAGUAACGAUAAGGGGAGUGAAAAACUCCCCCGCCGAAAGACCAAGGUUUCCUGUCCCAUGUUAAUCAGGGCAGGGUAAGUCGGCCCCUAAGGCGAGGCGGAAACGCGUAGUCGAUGGGAAACAGAUUAAUAUUUCUGUACUUCUAUAUAUUGCGAAGGAGGGACGGAGUAGGCUAGGUGAGCACAGUGUUGGUUAUCUGUGUGAAAGUGCGUAGGCUGAGUGUUUAGGUAAAUCCGGACACUCUUAAGGCUGA